GACGAACGCUGGCGGCGUGCUUAACACAUGCAAGUCGAACGGAAAGGCCCUGCUUUUGUGGGGUGCUCGAGUGGCGAACGGGUGAGUAACACGUGAGUAACCUGCCCUUGACUUUGGGAUAACUUCAGGAAACUGGGGCUAAUACCGGAUAGGAGCUCCUGCUGCAUGGUGGGGGUUGGAAAGUUUCGGCGGUUGGGGAUGGACUCGCGGCUUAUCAGCUUGUUGGUGGGGUAGUGGCUUACCAAGGCUUUGACGGGUAGCCGGCCUGAGAGGGUGACCGGCCACAUUGGGACUGAGAUACGGCCCAGACUCCUACGGGAGGCAGCAGUGGGGAAUAUUGCACAAGGGGCGGAAGCCUGAUGCAGCAACGCCGCGUGCGGGAUGACGGCCUUCGGGUUGUAAACCGCUUGCGCCUGUGACGAAGCGUGAGUGACGGUAAUGGGUAAAGAAGCACCGGCUAACUACGUG
rnacentral:rRNA from 1 species